CCCACAUGGAAGACCCACAUGGAAAGUGGGGCAGGGCACAUGUGGAGAUGCCUCUUGUCUUUAUACUGCUGAUCUGCCUCCUAAAGGUGAAGCCAUGCCUGCCACUGUAAGGCAAUCCUCUGCUAAUCUGGGGAAAUCCAUUUUGUCUCAGUCAGUUGAUAUAGGCAAUGAUCAGACUUCACUCAGACUGAGCUUUCUUCCUCCAGAGGUAACUUGGAGUAUAGCAUUUGAAAGACAAUUUCUGCUCUCUCCACUGCAGAAGUUAACUCUGGUCACUCUCAGUAUUUGACUGAGAAGCCCACAUUUGUCAGUGCAUCCCAAAUCUGUUGAAAUGACUGAAGUUUAUGAAGAUGACUCUGACACUUGCUUGUGCUAAAUGACAGUUCUUACGUUCUAGUAAUCCUACUCCACGGGAACUAUCCCGUCGCAUCUCCUAAACUGCGAUGAGGUCAAAGCCCUGUGACUGCACACAGAUCACCAGUUCCUCCUCUUUGUCCUCCAUAUGUGUGUCCUGUGUACAAGCACCUUACAGAACUAUUUGAUUGUGCCAAUAUCCCCAUGGGGAUAAAAAGGGAUACCCCAUAAUCCUGUUUUGUGGCUGCAUCUUUGGCUGCUUGUCCUGACUUGAGGUAUUCUCUCUUUAACCUCCUUUUCCUAGCUAGUGUGGUUGCUAUAGUUCUCCCCUUCCCACAGCCAGUCUGUAUUGAACCUAUGUCCCUGUCCUCCUUCCAACUUAGUUUAAAGCUCUCUCAGUGAACCCUGCUAAGAGACAGGGCUACUUGUUGCCAGCAGGCCUGGUGCAAUAGAAACUGGCUUAGCACCCUGAUCUUUACUUGCUUAGCUCUUCCAGCUUAUAGUAUUUUACAUGAGCUAGGAAAAACCCACUUAAUUUUUGUAUUCUUUUCCGAAGAGGAGUAGGAAGAAAUCCUGUUUUAAAACCAAUUCAGAAACUGAUUAGGAGAAACAUCUACAAGAGCACAGGACAGUGGUCUUGUAAAGUCAACUCUAUAUGUUCUUCUCCUAAAAUAUAAAAAAAUAUAUAUUUAUUUUAGCUGGCUUUUUCACAGAAAGCCUCUACCAAGGGUUUUAAUACAUUCAUUUUCUGUAAUGUUUUGUGUAUAUAUACAUGUGUUCUGCCUCUGCAUUUCUCAGCUUUCUGCCUUGAAGUCUCCCUUUCAAACUGAGCUAAAAUAACAUCUAUUAAAAAUUAGCUUCAAGGAUGGAAAUUCAUCUUUUUCUCUCUUUCAGCCUUGGCCUUUUAUGAACCUUAGUGCCUAAGUUUUUCUUGCAUUAGUGCUGCUCAGUCUUUAUGGCCUAAAUGUAUCUAGGGCAUUCUGCAGCUACUCCAGCACACUCUGUGGCUAUUUUUGGCAGUGUAGCUUUUGCCUGGCAGUGCUACAGAGGGAUGGCAUAUGCUCACUGCUGUGCAUGUGACUUGAUUUAAAGGUGGAUGAUGUGGUUUUGUUUAUGUAUUUGUAUAAGUCAGAAUUUUAAAAAACACUACUCUAUAUAAUGUAGAAACCUGUACAAAUUUAAUAUGCUUGACUGCAUGCGUUUUUAUUCUCCUUUUCUAUGUAAUUGUAUGCUCAGUGAACUGUGCAUUAGAAAGUGAAUUAGCAAGUUAAUUUACCCUACAUGCCAGUGAUAGAAUAGCUUUUACCUCCUCAGGCCAUGUGAUCUGAGCUGUGUGUGAAUGUGUCACAAUACACAAACACUCCUUUUAGAACCACUGCUGGGAGGGGUGUUGUUAGUUUAACCUGUUCUCUCCCUCAGUUUUUAAUUCUGAUUUGCAGUCACUAUCAGUGGGGUGUUUUUGGACAUGCUCUGAGUGAACUGGGUUCUGGAUUUGUUUGUGUGCUUUCCAUACUUCAUAUGCUGUACCUCAAGGAGACCUCUUGCAGAGCAAGUUACCUGCUCAUCAUCUGAACAAAAGUAAUAAAAUUAAUGAUAGUUAUUCUUCAGUAUUCCUAAUCUAAGGCAAUUAAUAUUUGCACUGUAUUUUGAGUUUGCAACUCAAACUACAUAAUGUUUAACGAUCUACUUCCCUACUAUUCCAUAAACCCGUCAGGCUCAGUUUCAUGGGAGCAGCUCUAGAGCCUUAGUUACAAUUCAACAACAGGGUAGCCAGUCCCCCAGCAAAAUUUGGUUUCAGACUUUUUCAGUUGUAGGACUGAAGAAGAAUAUUUACAACAGAACAAAUAAUUUGAAUAAAUGAACGAAAAAGCAGAGAAUAGGAAUGUUUUCAUCUAAAGAUGUAGACCCAAGUGGUGAGAAGUUAAGUGCUGGUUAGUGCUCCUGGGACUUUCAUUGCUGGGGGUAUAUGGGAGGGCUCUGACAGGACCACAUGCUUAAUCCCACUCUCCCAGGCUCCCUGGUUAUACCACAGCCACAUGGCUGCUUCUCACAUUGCAGGACAGGACUUUGCCUGCUGUGUGCCUUUUUAAGCUCCUGUGCAUGGGCCAGCACACAGUGGGUGGGAGAAGCCCUUGUGCUACAUGAGUACUUAGGAGUUAUUAUGGCUUAGCAAAUGGUUAGUGUAGAGCAUGUUUAUUAGCUCCGAAAUGGGAAGUAUAGGUACCGAAAUGGGAAGUAUAACAAUGCCAUGAUUUUUUUUGUGAGAUAAAUCUUAUUUUAAUUGUUUGGUAACAAAAUAUAUAAUGAGGGACUUGCAGAGGAGAAUUAAUUUUGGUCAUACUACAUAGAUGUGUGUUAUUUCUUAGUGGGAAGUUAAACAUGGCAUAGAGUAGGUGGCCCUAGAGCACAGGUAUUUCUUAAAAUCUGGAUUAAAUAUGCUAUUAGCAUUUCUUUUUGAGGAUGAGGGAAAUUGUAUAGCAGUUGCUAUUAUUUUGCUAGUAACUAUUUUGCCAUAUUGAGCAAAGUGUUGACAUUAAUGGUGGCAUUAUGAUUGUUGAAAAGGCUGGUUUGUUAUCAAGGUAAUAGAAGCACAUCAAGAAUUACCUAAUGUCCAAGAAAUGUUAAAAUGCCAAUAAAUAUAUUUAAUACUAAAAUCUUGGAAAUGCCUAAGUAAACAAUCUGCUUAUGUAUGCAUGCAAAAAUUCUUCUUUAAAAUCAAGGCCCCAUCUCAAUUCAGUUUUUGAUCUUGAAAUGCUUGUUGAAUUUUUUAGUAUUGCUGUAACUGAUCUCUGCAAUAAGAUGUUUGAAAAGGGAGGUGAGGAUGUGAUUUGAACAAUUGAAGGGCUGUUCAAGGUAAACAUAAAGGUUCCACUGUUUGAUUUCUCCAUUUUAUUUGGGAGUGGGGUGGAGCUGGCUGACCAAGGCCUCCUUCCCAGGCAGUGUGCUUUGCAAUAGGAAGUGGGGCAGUGUGGUAGACAGCUGCCAGCACCAAUAACUGGUGGCUUGAGCGGCUUAACAGAGGCUAAGCACAAAUCUAUUGACGCAGAGCACAGGGAAGUGCUCCGCAGACUUCUCCCCCCUCCCUGUCCUUGAAUAUAAUCUCAUGAUGCUGUGGAUGUGACAAACUCCAUUUUGAUCAGAUGUUGGGCCGGACAUGGUUAGAGCGGGUCAGUUUUGGCCUCGAAAGGAUACCCUGAUGGCAUGCAUUCUCCACACUUUCUGAAACUGCACUUUUUUCUUCUGUGACACCACCUCCUUUCUGCUUCAGGUUUGCAAAAUUGCUAGCCUGAAUUUUUUAAAUGUAGGCUGGGAGAUUGAAGCCAUGCGUACAGGGUGAUAUGGAUCAUGCUAUGGAUGCACAGUAGACCUCUGCAGUGCAAAUGAAUGUUCUGUACUGAAUAUAAUGGAUGAAAUAGGUAGUAAAAGAGUUGAAAUACACAUAUUGGAACAUCAUGGAAAAAAAACAUCUUGGAAAAAGACAUUUAUCCACCUGCCUGAAAUGCAUAUGCUGUUUGUUCUCUGAAAGUGUGCAGUCAAUGUAUGAAGCAGAAUGAGACUUUCACAUUUGGUAACAAAUGUUCUUCGGAAGUCUUCUCUUCCUGGUUUUGAAAACUUUAACACUAACUUGUCAAAAUAAAGAUGAAGCAGUGUUUGAAGAUCUGCCAUAUUUGAAAUUAUAAUUAUGCUAUUAAAGGAAAGCCUGAGGAUAGCUGAGACUUAGACAGGGACUACUUAUGCUUCCUUUAGUCGUGAAUAAUAAAAAUGGAGAUGCUAAUAAGUAGCUGAUGCUUGUACUACUACUUUUAUAAUAUUAGUUUUGGGUUUUCUAUCAUGUCAGAGGACAUAACAGACAUAGCUAAUUUACAGAGUCUUGUAGCUUUGACUUUCUAACUUAAUUGACAUUUUUAACACAAGGUUAAAAAUGUCUGAAAAAAGGCUGAAAAAAGCAUUUGAAAUGGCUCUCUACUAUUUUUAAUGUGUCUAGCACUUUAAAAAAAAAUCCAUAUAAUCCUCUUGAAACAGAUGGCUACAUAUAGUGAGUUAAAAUCCCAUGCUAGGAUUUGGGUUUUUACCUGGUACUGAAAGCAAUGUCAUGACAUAGGGAUGAAUCACUGAAUUUGGAGGUGAAAACUGAUUUCAGUGCUGUUAAAAAACAAACAAAAGCCUGUGGGGAACCGUGUAGUCCCUUUGGAUGGAGAGCUGGCUGUUAGAUUUCUUUUAGUUUGUGUUGUCUUUUCCAGACUAUAUUGGAAUGUCAACGUUGGUGUCAACUAACCUUCACAACCUUUCCUUCUGUAAGAAAGGAAAAAGAGGAAGCUAAAAUCUUUAACUACGAAUCAUGUAAAUUCUUGGGAUGCCUAACUAAAGACAGGAUUUCAACUGAAAUUUUUUGUUGUAACUCUGUAUCAUGUUAAGCCAGGAACACUUUGGGAGAGGGGAGUGAGGUGUGGAGAGGAGGAUGUUGCUAUUAGUUUUAUCUAGAACUAAAGCAUGGAUGUAUUUUCUUUUUUUGAAAGGUCAGCUGCUUUUUUAUAUCUAUAGAACUACAGUAGUGUUUCUAGAGAUGAAGACAAAAGAUUGGUGUUCUUGUCCAGAUAACUGGAAAUAAUUUAAUAUAGCUGGUGAUUAAUGAAAGGAGCACAUACUAUUUCGGUGUGCUCGUUUCCUGCACUCUUUUCAUUGUAAAAGGAGACAAAUGAAUGGAAGGGCAAAAUGUUGACACACAUUUAAGUUUUUGCAGUUAAGUCACUUAGUAGUUAAAAUUUUUAUCCUGGUGCAUUCCAGCAAUCAACCAGAGGUUAAUUUGAGCCAGUGGACAGAGAAGCUGCAGCCUUUCCUUGAAUUAAGAUCUGAAUUGCACUAAAAUGUAUUUAAACUUAAUAAACAUAUCCCCUGUUCUGACUGUUCUACUGUCUAUUUAUCGAGUGCACACAAGACAAUAUAUUGUGUUCAGCAGGGGCAGGGAGAGUGCAGCCGCAGUUAUGGCCUCAGCUGGGCACUUGUUCUCUGCCUCAGUUUGCCACGAGUGCGCAAGCAUUUGCACCUGCCUUCUCAAUCAGUUCUGCUACCAACGCAGCAUUCAAUGGGCUGCAAGGAUGUGAAUAUUAACAGAUAGAGAAAUAUUAAGCAGUUUGACAGCAGGUAAUAAAGGAUCUGAACUGUAGGGAAGUGAAACCUGGUUUUCAGACAUAUAAUUUUAAUGUGAUGUAUUGAGAUACAUUCAGACCUUCCUUAUGCUCCCCUAGUUUUCAGUGUAGGUCAUUCCUAGCAAGCUGAAGGAUAAAAUGUAUGGUAGAACAUAGAAGAUUUUUCAAGACAUGUCAGAGAGAUUCUUUACUGGAAGCUGAAUAAGUCCUUCAAGCUGGUAGUUCACUGUAUCUGUUUUUUCUAAGGCUCUUACUGCAAAGCCUGCUUUAGUGUUCUUAGUUUAUUACUCUAAUACAGGCAAAUAGUGCUUGGAAAAGAGCAACUUCGGCAUCUUGGCAAGACUAUACACAUGUGAAAAUGUCUUAGUUUUCUGGGAGUGGUUCUGCUUCCUGGUAAAUUUUAGGAUAAGUGUGGGUGAUUCUUAAGAAGGCAUGUAGGAGGUGAGAGCUCAUCUUGUAGAUGAAGUCACUCAAUAACUGAGUGUCUCUGGACUUCAGUGACAGGUUGCUGUUAGGCUUGUGGGCACACGCCAGAUUUAUUCUUUAAAAUACUGGGAUGGGGCACAGUCAGAUUUUUUCCCCCUACUGUACUCACUUUACUGAGAGAGCUUUUCAUCUUGAUAUGCCCCUAUUGUCAAUUUCUUAAUGGUGCUUUAGCUAGACUUUCUUCAAACUGCAGAGCAAGCAAAGAGUGUGUGAAGAGGGAUGUUGGGACAGGGAGUAGGUGGUUUGAAUGUGUUACAUCCAUUAGGAAUGUCCUGAACAAGAAGUACUGCUGCUGGGUCUGCCAGAUGAGUAGUUCAGAAACUAGGUUAUUGUGAAAUAACUUGCUACAGUUGCAGUCGCAGAUUAUUUAUGUGCUUUGGCCUGAGAAAAAUACAGUGGUUUUGUGCUAAAGCAUGUUUUGUGCCAUGAUAAAUGCACCGCUGCUGCUUUGAUCUACAUUUGUACUACAUGGAGGGGUAUGGUAGUCUUAGGAGGACAGAUUUGGAGGAGGCACUCCAGUGACUUUGUUUAAUUAGAUCAUAGCCAAGUCCUUCCCUCAGCUGUAUGAAAUGCAAAGGUAGCUCUUAAUGAUGUACACUUUAAUAGCCUGAAUGCAUACAUGGAAGCAAAGGUGAUAUUCCGCAGGACUACAGCAGACCUAAACAUGACCUGUAAAGGAGGCUGUGACACUUGAAGCAGUCAAUGAGUCUUUAGGCUCUUUCUGUACUUAUUGUAGUUUUCACGGUGGCCUAGUGAGACCUGGUCCCCCAAGCCUUGCAGUCAGUGUUAGUAAGCUCUUUUUGCUUAAUGAAGCUGUGUCCCCAGACUCCCAGGGGCAUGCGAACUUAUGCAUGAUGUAGUGCCCUCUGUGCACUAGUUUGUCAGCCUGGAGUGGGUGAUGUUCCCAUGAUUUAUGAAGCUUGUUCAUCUGUCCUGGAAAAAAUAAUUUUACAUAUUCCAUCUAGUCCUGGUGAAGUAUGUACAUUUGCAAUAACAGAAGCACCUGUAAAAUAGAGAUUAGAUUUAUAAGGGUCUUUCCUCACUGCUUCAGCCUUGAAGCUGGCUGAUACACUGGCCACAGAGCCCUUUGGGAGCUGGUGUAGCACAGAGUGUGUAUUAGCAUCAGCACCUGCCCCUUUUUUUGUUAGACCGCUGCUUCUGUCCCCUGGGCAUGCAGAAGGAUGUGUAAAGAGUGAGGGCAGGAGACAACACUAAGAAAUUUGACCCUCUCUUUUCCCCUUCUGAAGCCUGAGCUCUACUUUCUACCUGGUUUUGCUUUAUAAAAGUCUUCCUCACCAUGUGGCAACUGUGAGCCUACAGCUCCACAUACUAAUGCAGAGGAGCUGGAUUAUUUCCUCUCCCUUCUGUAACUUUCUUAAUUAACAUUUUCAUUGCUUAAUCUACAUAGCUCAGCCUGUCUGCAUGCCUUCUCUUGUUACAGUCUCUGAAGUAAGUGAUUUAAGAAUUGGUAAUUAUAUACCUUGAAAAACUAAUUUGUAUAAUCAUCUUGCUAGAUUCAAAACACCUGCUUGCUCUCUAGUUUCUUUUUCUCUGUGGAAAGACUGAUAUUAUUGAUGGUAAAAUUAGGAAUUAACUCAGUGUUAACUCCUGUGACUUUGAGGACUGUAAGGGAUUGCUGAAACUUCUUUACAGUAAAUCUUCUCUACCUCAUGGUUAAAACAGGAGGACCAUUUUUGAGUAGAAGAAUUAAAUAUUUCUUUUUUGUUCAAGUGUUUAAGUUUUCUGACUUAACCCAGUGUUGCUUUGCUCUGAUCCCUCUGGAUUUCCUCUUCAAUCCUCAAUCAGUAUAGCAUGAAGGGCUUCUGAAAAUCAUACAUGAUUCCCUGCGUUUCAACACUCAAGUACAGCAAUAAUGUAACAAAGUCAUGUCAGCAAAAGUGUUAAAAUCAGCUCUAGAAUGCAGUCUUGAAUUAAAGCACUUUGGGAUGGUUGCUGCUAUUUGGUACAUCUGUGUCCUCAUACCCAGAAGAGUACUAAUGAUGUCUGUGGCACUCAGUAAAAGAAAAUGCAGUUGUGAACACCUCUUCUACACAAACAAAGCUGUAAAAACAAGUACAGUGUUGCAUAUGGUUUUAUGAAGAAAAAGAUAAAUGCAAACAAACAAACAAAAAAAAAACCCAAACACAGAUGAGAGAGCUGCCAACUGUUAUGUAAAUACAGAAAAAUCCUUAGAAAUCUGCACCAAGAUGUCUACAUAUUUAAUACACCAUUAAGCGCUUAGCCUUGGGAGGGAGACCCACAUAAGGCUUUUUCUCCAUCUUCAGAGCUAGUAGUUCAGUAACUAUUUCUCAGCUGGUCCAUUUAAGCCUGAGUGCAUGUAGUGAAAAGAACCCUUUCUUGGUUUGUGUGUGGUUCAUUGAACAACAUUGCUUAAAAACAGGAGUGUUUAGUGUUAUUCGUCAUGUCACCCUUUGCUUUUACCCCAGCUGACCUUUCAGCUCUGCAGAAGGAAACACAUGCAGUAAUUAAUCAGCCCAUGCUUAUUAUUUCAGGUCACUUGUGUGGUUUGGACAAAAGGAAGACGAGGAAUACAAAUGCAAAAUAUUUUCCACUAUUUGCUUUUAAUGGCAGAGUGGAGCACAACGACAUGGGCUAUCUGGGUUGUUACAGUGCAUUUAGGUGGUGUGCUGCCUUUGGUGGUGGAGAAUUAAUUGUAUGUAGUUGGCUGCAUGGCUACCUCUUAAGCAGGAAGAACUGCCUUAAGCUGCUCUGGUGUAGGGGAAGGGGCUGUCAUAUCUUCACUGGAAGGAUUAAGGGCUUCAUGAGGCAGAGAAAGAGUAUCUUGGCACUUCUUUGUAUUCAGAAUGUUUUGUGGUAGGAAUUGUUAAUAGCUAGUGGUCUGUGGGACAUAGCAAGCUUCAGACGCAUUGGGCACACAGAGUAUCUGUUAAAAACAAUACAGGAUACCUCUGAAAGUAGUUUUAUGAAUAAAUACAAAAAGCAUACACUUAACAGUGUAUUUAUUAUUUGUCCAAUAUUUUAUAUGCUUAGGAAACUAAGCUCUCAUAAGACUUGUUUUGAGAGCUUUUCUCGGGGGGGAAGCAGUGACUUGUCUUAUAGCAGCAAUUAGCCACCGGUGAAUCUGGGACAUAUUUAAGACUUUCUGGGUUAUAGUAUUGGAAUUGGAGUGGCAUUUUCUUUCCAGUCAGCUGGUAUGGUUCCUUCUGAUUUGUACUUAUCUCAGAGGAAUCUAGUUGUUUUCUGUUCUGUCUGUCCCUGUAACUUGCCUUACUUUCCCAUUUUGUCAUACAAACCUAGAGUAAACCUUGUUCUGUAGCAAUUGGGCAUUGAUUUGUCGGUUCAGAUCUCUGAUGAAGAGCCUGAAUGAGCUUAAAUUUGUGCAUUAUGGUCUCUUGUCUUAAGGGUUGCAAAUUUCAUAGGAGAAGGUGCUUAUAGGGUGGGAGCUUUGAAUACUGCUGCUGUGCAAAGAAGUGUUUAACAUAUGCAGAUAUGUCAUUUAUCUUCCUACUGAAGUUGUACAGCCUGACUCACAGUAGCACCAUGUGAUGCAUGAGCCACUUGGAGUACAGUGUCCUUCUCCUAGGUUGCUUACAGUCUCUCCUUAAUCAUUGUAAUAUCUAAUCCCAGAUUAGAUGUUGAGGAAGAACAGUUUCCAAAGCCAGUCAGUUCCUUAGCUCCUGACCAGAUGACUCACUAGCAUGUCUUUAAGAGAUUUCCUUGGAAUGUCUGUAGAAGAUUAUUCUAGCAGAGAUCUGAGACCAUCACAGAUAAAUUCAUGUAAUCUAAAUAUUACAUUAAUUAUUCCAAGAGGAAGAUAAUUUACAGCCCUAUUAAAAAAAAAUGCAAUACUAUGAGAAUGAUCUUUCCAAAUAAUCAUAUUCACUGCUACAUGUAACUCAACAUGUUGUCUGAAUUUCUUCCAAAUAGGAAAUUGACAAGUGCUCUGUCCUCUUCAAUAGAACUUGUAUUAUUUUAAAGUAUGAUAAUUGUUUUGGUUUUAAAACCACAGGGUUUAAAAGUACCACAGUACUUCAUUCCAGUAUACACAGAGCACAGCUAUGAGGGAAAGAAUGAAGUGAUAUACAUUCUGCAAGUGAAAACAAAUUACACGUUUAGCACAAUCUAAUUGCAUAGGUCUAGUCUUUUACCAAAAUAAAAAUAAUCUUUUCUUGGCUUACUGGAAAAUAAUAAAAGCUGAACUCCUUAAUGUGUAUUAUUUUUUUCACAUUAUUUACCAUCAGAAUUCAGAAAAAAGAUUUUGAACUCGGGAUCAACUCUCAUUGAUUUGAGAGACUGUUGUUAUCAUCAAAAUAAAGUCAAAUGUAGACAAAAUCUCUAUAUAGGGUGCAAAUUAAUCUAUUUUCCUGCUACUAUAUCAAAUUAACCUAUAUAUAUGUAUAUACAUACUUAUAAUUGCUUAUAAUUAAUACAUAUUUAUAAUUCCCAGUCUAUAUGUAGCAAUAGGAGGAGGUUUAACUUGUAUGGCUAAAUUUAGAGUGAUCCUAAUUUGCAGAAGGGUAGGAGGAGAUGACAGCUAGGACUGCCUACUGCUUAUUAUGCAGGUAUGAGUAUCAGUUCACUGUGACACUAAUUACUGUUCAUUUGUGUAGUUUGAAAAUGUGUGGGUUUGGCAUUAGUUUUUGUUAGUGAAUUUUGGAACUUUAAAAAUAGAGGGUAGUUCUCUUUCUCUCUGGCUUUGCAUAGUAGCACUGAUUCAAGUGGCCUUGAAUCAGGUGCUGUUGUUCAAGGUGGUGUAGAAAGCCAAGGAAAGAUCUGUCCAAAAAUCUGACAGAUUUUUAAAGCUGUGAGAAUGUUCAAAAAUUGGGAAGGAAUAGUGAUUCUCUUGAUAAAUAGUUUAAAGAAAAAAAAAACAGUCUGUUGAAAAGCUGUUGUGGUGGUUAGGAUGCUUUGUAUGCUCUACAGGCAGCCUAAUUCCCAUCCAAAAUAGUCUGCAUUGUGUAAGACCACUUAAAAGAAUAAUAAUUUGUCUUAUUAUGAAGGCUGCAAUUGGUUCCAAAUCACUCUGUUCCUAAGACCUCUCUGAAGAUCGCAUGUCUGUUUUUAACAUUAAAAAAUCAUAUUCAGCUUUAUAGUGUUGUUAGUUGGAAGAUCUUGUAUAUUUAUUGCUUCAUUGUUUUUUUCAGAAUCUAUUUUUCUGCUUUCUGGGCCUUAGAAUAAAAGGCUCUUGAUCCCCUUCAAACAUACUCCCAAACAAAGCUAUUUAAAAGGUACGAUAACAUUUUUCCCACUUAUCUGUGAUUUGUGCUGCAAAACAGACUAUGGACAGCAGAGUAAACACUCAGGUUUGAGAGAAUCCACCCCCAAGCUUGUUGUCAGGCCAUGCAUAGCAUGGGACUUGUCAGCUGAAGAGCCACAGAAGGUAUUUCAGGCCCUUACUAGGUGAAAAGAGAAAAAGGAGACUGACAGGUCACAGAUCACAGAAUAUUCUGAGUUGGAAAGGAUGCACAAGGAUCAUCACAUCCAACUUUAAGUGAGUGGCCCAUACAGGGAUUAACACUCACAACCUUGGUGUUUUUAGCACCAUGUUCUCCCCAACUGAGCUAGUCUCAGGGUGUGAAAGAGGAGGGAUUGUACUCUCUAUAAAGGAAUGGUUUGAAUGACUGGAGCUUGGCCUGGGGCAGGUGCCAAAUCAGCAGAAAUGGUGGUGCUGCUGCCUUUAGGUAGCUGGAGAGAGCCUCAGGUUGUAGUACUCAUGGGUGCCUCUUAUACACUCUUCUGGAAGGGAAAUGCAGCUGGGUGCUAGAAGCCAGGAGAUGUGUUUAACACAUUCCAAACCAGUUCUUGAUGCAGGUGAUCAGUGAACUGACUAAGACUCAUGCUCUGCUGGACCUGCUGCUCACAGACAAGAACUGGUAGGUGAUGAAAAGGUUGAGGGCACCUUUAAAGUGCUGUCGGCAAACCUUAGUUUUGCAGAGUGUUGCAUCUAGUUGCAUCAGCUUUUGGCAUUGAUCUUCCAUUAAAUGCGGAGAAAUGCUUGUUGGAAGUAAAAAGUGCUGACAAGUUUUUUGUUUUUGUUUUAAUUGCAAAGCUGGCACAACAAUAGGUAAGCAUUAAUGAAAAUAGUUAGUUGGCACUCCAGUUGUUGGAAGUAAUGUUUUAAGGUGUUGUGAACAGAUUCAGAGUGCAUCUUCUUAUUGUGUCCUCUAUUGUAUAGUUGUGAUAUGAGUCCUAAUUGUUCAGAGCCUGGUCAGCGAUGUUCUGCCUGGCUGUGCUGAUCAAGGGGCUAUGAACCAAGGUGAUCUCUUACACAGCAACAUCAUGCUUCAAAGUGAUUGACUUUGAAAUAUUCAUUGUGUUGAAGAUAAACCAGUAAGGUAGACAUGAAUUAUAUUAUUUUAGUCACAUUCCAUAGAGCUUUAAUAAUCUUGUAGCCUGGAACCUUACUGGUGGUGAGCUGCUCAAAACCCACAAAAAUACUUUUAUGAAAGAUUGAAGCAGGUUUGAUGAGGUCUGUCUCCCUGUGGAAUGGCAAUCCAUGUGGGCAAGACUUAACAACCUUUUAGAUAAGUCCAUUUGCAUCCUAAAAAUAACUUCCACAGUGUAAUACAGAGAGCCCAGGAAGCACUUAGUACCAGCCUGAUUCCAGAAGUAAUUGAUCUAUGUGGUCCCAAGUUUUGUGCAACAAAACCCAGUGUGUGUCUCCCAUAUAAGCCAAAGUUUUAUAGUUAUAAUUUAGUCGAGUCAGGAAGGGGAGUGUGGGGAUCCUGCAAGCAAUUUAUGGGAACCAUUACAUUGUUGGUAUGGAGCCAGUUCUGUCUGGUGGUUGCACACAAGAAGACUUAAUGCUCUGGCAACCAGCCUCCCAGCCACUGUGUCUGUGGGCAAAGGGAAGGGCUGGAGGACAGUGCCUGAGUGACCUGCCUGAAGAUGAAACAGUAUCAAGUACUUUUCCAUCCCCAUUUCACCUGUUCAAAAGAAAGAAGGGAGGUGUGUUCAGCCUGCCUAAAAUUACUGGACUUGCUAUCUCAGGCAUCCAGCGCAGGCUGCCUGGGCUUUCAGAUAUAUAACUCUAAUACCUGAACAAUGAAUUUCUGCAUAGAGUAAAAUACUGUGAUUGCAGCAUCCAUUUUCUCCUUUUUCAGUAUUUAUGUAAUGCACAAAUCUUUGUGAGGCUUCAUUUUUUGUGCUGAAGUGGGAUAUUUGAUGUGCAUUGUAGAGCAAUAAGUUGACUUUGAAGUGUUGAACUGAGUCACUUGCAAUAAACACCCCAAUGAGACAGCCCAUUUUUUCUUUUGAUUGACCAAACAAAAGAAUCAGAACCAAGAACAUGGUCUAAAACAAAAUAACUCUAGAGGUACACUUGGUACACUAUAGUUUAGUCUAGCACUUCUUGUAAAACUCUUUAAAGGCAGGGACACAAAAUAUGUAAAAUAUAUAAAACACAUUAAUAAUGUUGAAACAUUAUAUAAAUUAUUGUUAACAAGGCCUUGUUGUUUCUGGGUAAAAAUUUAAAGACUUCAUGAAAUUAUAUUUUUAAAGUUACUAUUAGAGCAAUUGGAAUCCUUAAUCUUUUUUAGCAAGUCUGUGAAGGCUAGGCUGCUGUCAUGAAGUAUGUGGCUUAGAGGUCUAAAUUCUUUGUUUUCUCAAUCCACAAUAAAGAGGAGGCCACUUUAUUGUGUUAAAGAGCUGUAAUCCCAUGAAUCGUUUCAGUGAUGUUGUAAAAUCAGUAUGUUUUGCAUAAUAAAAUAACCUCAAGUGAGAAUUUUAUCGUUCUCAUGCUUAAUUUGAAUUUUACAAGGCAGAUGGCAAAUAAUAAAGGUUGCAUAACAUUUCCCAUUGUUUCAGUCUCUCUACAAUUUUGCUAAAAUUAAAUGGUUUGGCCUUUAUUUCUCUUUUGCCAGUUUCUCUCCCUACUUUUUGUCUUCAGCAAAUGGAUCAAUUUCUUAAGAAUGAGAUAUAGGAAACAAAUAGAGAAAUUCUGCUAUGUGAAAAAAACAAAAUCUUAGUAUCAGUCUCAAGGGAUGGCUUAAGGCCACAAUGCUUUAAUGAAAAGAUUUGAAACUGGGAACAAUAUGAAUUUGGUUUUAGAGCUAUGACUCCUCUUGACCUUAUGAGAAUCUAUUCAAAUUAGCAACAUAAAAAGUCACAGCCCAUGCCUGUCAGAGAUGCAUUCAGCAUUUGUGCGUUAUAUUUUUGUCCAGGGUUUUUGACUGAACUGAGGCUGCAGCCUUUCCUCUCAAAUGCUUUGGGCUAAUCAGUGUUCCAAUUAUUCACGAUCCCCAUGGAAUGAGUUGAGCAUGGUCCUCCCUGGAGCUCUGGGGUCUGAGGGGAAGCAGCCAGGGGGAAAAAGGCCCAGUCUCUGCAGGCAGCUUUGGCACCAGGUGCACCAGCUAGAAGUGUAGAGGCUUGUUUUUCUCCCAUGCUGCCCAGAUGCCUGCUGCUUAGGUUUGCAGGAAAGGUGAUGUGACACCUCUAGGGGAGUAGUGGGCAUGAGGAGGUGUUUGGAUUAGAGCAAUCUGAGCAAUUCUCUCUGCCCGUAAAAAAGGAGAAUGGCAAGAGAAGAGAAUUGCGGUGUAGCAGCUUCAGAAACAAGAGAACGAGGUUGAGAAGGCAUGGAGGGGGGAUGUAAGGUGAGGAAAGGGGCCAAAGAUGUUCAAUAGGAUAAGAGGAACAGGAGGGCAUCUAGUCGAAAGGAAUCUUGCUGGUAUGUAAAGUUACCUAUUUUUAAUGCUUAAAUGUUCUUAAAUUUUGGUGACUGAUAUAUGUCAGUGCAUUAUGCAAGCUUUUGGUUAACUGUUAAGGUUUCAAGUUCAAGAACUGAAAAGUUAGGAAACUUCAGUGUGGAAGUUGACCCUGCAACUUGUGUAAUACAACUUAUACAUGACAUACUAUCAAAUAAUUAAGUAUGUGAUUGUGUUAUUGGAAAUUAAUAGCCCUCCCAUUAUUAAGGCUAAAUAACAGUGAAGGAAGUCAGGCUUUGAUCUCAGUAGCCCUGUGUACCUGAGGUUGUGAUGAUACAGCUUAAUGGAAACUUCAAGUAUCUUCUGAGAGUUUGUAGUUGAGUUACUAGAAACUGUCCAAAAGCAAAGUUUUGUAUUCUUUGUAUUAAGAAUGAGAGGUCUUUGUAGCAAAAUACUGAACACUGGAGGGUUUUAGUUUGAAAUAAUAUCUGGGUUUGGUUUCUAUUCUUAAAACUCGGUGCUAAAUAGAUUUCUUUUGAUUACAGUGUGUUGCUGUGCUUAAUCAGAUGUUUUGCAUUGCAUAUUUUGUCAUGUCAUCAUUAUAAACCAAUUAAAAUUUACAGCAGAAAAGCAAGGCAACAACUUUCACACUUACUCUGUUUUGUCUCUUAAACAUAAUCCAAACAGCAGCAUGGUGGAUUUUCUCCAAGUAACUAAGGCAUAAAAUACAAUGACAGUAGUACUUUUUUUAAACACCCUAUUUGAUUUGUUGGAUAUACAGACUACCUAUAUAUAUAUAUAUUGAACUAAAAGCAGUGGAAUGGGGUAAGGAAAUAUUUUUCUUUCUUCUGUUAAAAAAAACAGACUGAGAAAUGUUGGGUUUGAUUUAUUUUCAGUAGCAACCACCCAUGUGGUUUUUCUUCAGAAGACCUCAUUUUCAGUGUUUGUUAUAACCUGAACAUGGCUGAAUCCUUUCAGACUAGUUUUGAAAUUGUGGAACAUGCUUUAAAUAAAAGCGAAUCAAUUGGAGAUAAAAGGUUUCUCUGAAGAUUGUAGAGGGGCAAAAAAUGAAAUUUAUGUCCCCAAAGGCCUAAGAACUGCAAAUUAUGGCAGUUCAGCAAUGCAGUCACCAAGACAGCUAACAAGCAAUUACUUGAAAAGCAAUGACACCAAUGCUUAAGGAACUAAAGGAGAACCUUGACAGACUUGCAAAGUUUUAUGCUUUUGUGAGAUAUGAAGAGCUGUUGUAGUACUGGACUUAGGACAAAUGUUUGUGCUGCCAAUAGAGUGGUCUGUGUCUAAGAGAAAUCGGCUACCCAAGGAGAUCCUAUAGAGAAACAAGUUUUGAUUUUUUAAAAGACUUCUGCAGGCUGUGGGUUUGUGUGGGGUGGCAGUUUAUAAAGACAAGAUGUACUUUUUAGUGGUGUGACACUCGGCCUCAUAUCCAAGAGAGAACCUGGGUAAAAAAUAUACUUUGGUUUUGGUGGUGAAUUAUUCUUAAAACACAGAGGCCAAAGAGCUCUAGUUACCAUUUGAUGUAUUCAUAAUAAAGACUUUUUAAAAGUUACUGUUGGUGUUAUUUAAAGAUUGCAUGUAAUACCUUCUGAUUGAAAUAUAUACCUUUGCCUUUCUAAACACAUAUUCAUUUAUUAUAAUUCUUCCAAAUCCAUGGAGCUCAGGCAUUAGGAUUGUUUGUGCAGACUCAGUUCUGUGCAUGGAGUGUUGUAAUUAGCAAUUAGAAUCUGCUGUCUUUCUGCCAAGCAGUACGUAGCUGCUCAGGAAGCCCUAUUUCCCGACAGCUGGACAGCUGUAAAGAACGGCUCCCUGAAUUGAAAAUAAAUUUUCCAGUUUCCUAUGAUGUUUACUUUGAAACACAAGUUUUCCAGAAAGUGGUGUCUUGAGAAUCUUGUUGAGCUCUUUGCUGCUAUUAGCUAUAUUUGUCUGCUGCCUUCUUAAAUAUGAUAGUGUAGGCCUGGCACAGCUGCUUUUGUUUUUGACAGUGAUUGAAGUGAUUAAGGAUAAGUCAUGGAACAGAAAUAUAUAUUCUUAAGUCAGUGUUUCAGCUCUGUUCCCUACUCAGCACUGCUAGGAAACAUUCCUUUUGGCUUCACUGUUUCUGUGUACGUGCAUUUUGCGCCACACUAAAUACUCAUUUUACUUGGCUUGCAGUCAUAGCAUAGAUCUUUUAUAUAAAAGGAACGGGAGAAGAAGCAGCAAAUGGAAUGUUGCACUUGCUCUAAGUAGUUACAGCAUCCCUUCCAGCAAGGCAGAGGCAAGCUACCAGAAAACUGCCUGUUUUCCUCAGGCAAGAGUACUCUGAAUUAGAGUAAUGGUUUGAACGUGUGCACCCAGGAGCUCAACUGCUAAAUAACAGCACGGAGCCUUUGUAGUUCUAACUGUUACGGAAAUAAGUGUCUGUACAGAGUAGGCUGUAUAAACAAAGCCUCGCUUCUGUGAAUCUUCCUGCUGUCUUAAGUUGAGAAGUGGUUGUUGCUGUAGCAAUUUGCAGGCAUUAUUCAUGUUUUAUUUUCCUGAGGCUGGAAGGAGGACUGAACAUCUACGUAAAAUUUGAGUUGCAGGGCGCUUUGCCCAAGAAAAAAAAGCUGCAGCAGUGAAAUGAUUACCUAUGUUACUUGUAUUGAUCCCACUAACUUGUAAGUAGUCUAGAAUUUAUCUGUCUGAAAGAGAAAUCCCAGUAAAAGUGCCAGGCAUAAAUCUAAGUGGCCUAAAGUGUUGUUGUGUGAAGAUAAUUACGUACCAGGACCAUUGUAGCUGUCCCAGUGUAAUGCUUAACUUGGCUUUUCAGCUGAGUCAAGCUCCUGUGGCAGACUGGUGUUGACACAGCUCUCCCGCAUUCAGUUCAGGGUGCCAAGUCAGGAGAUGAAACCCAUGUGGCAAUGAACGUUUUCUUAGUUGAAAAGGUUGUGCUACUUCAUUAUUUUAUUUAGAAGCUGAAUCUUUCAGAAAACUCUGCAGCUUCUAUAGCCAGUUAUAGCAAAUUUUACCCCAUGUUUCUUUGCGUGGAGUACUAAGUGCCUUAGACUGUUAGCAUUAAAUAAUACUUAUUUUCCCUUGCCAUCCUCUCUUUUUGUGUUUUGAGCAUCUUUAUUUUUACUCAUUCUCUGGUGAAAGGUUUGAUAAGAUCUAACCAAAGGCAGUUGUCAGGGCUUGUGCAGAGCAGUUUCUUGGGAGUUGUCCUGUGAAACUAAACCACAAUGGGCAUGAAACACUUUGUCUAAAACUACUUGUCUGUUUGUGCAAAUGGACUUCUAUUAUGGCUGACUGUAAGAGGAAAAUAGCCACUAAAUCAAUAGGCUGGGUUGAAAUUGACCUGUUUCUCUUAUUGUGAUGAGUGCCCAUUUAUUCUCUCCCAAAUGAGGUAAUAGAACAAAGUUACUCUAGCAACCCCUAGGAAGAAGAUUCUUCCUAGACGCAAAAGGAUGAAACUGAAGAUGCUUGAAAGCAAUUAUGGGAUGAAGGCCAGGACUUCACUUAGUUCAGCAGAUAGAGUGAUUCUGAGUUUAAAAUAAUUGAAAGCAGAGGAGGGGAAAUCUUGGAUAAUGGAUUUCUCUUGAGCUUUAUUGUAGAUGUCUUUUAAUGGGUAUGAGUAGUGAGGGAAUUGUCAUUUGUGUGGCAGGCUAGUAACCUUGAAUCCAGUGAGAGCAGCUGUACUGUUGGCUGAAGCUCUGUAGAAAGAAAGUGUUUGGAGAUACCCAGAAGGUCAGGGAGAUGUUAAAUGUAUUCUAAAAGUAGUGCAGUGGGAGAGUUGUGUUGUAGUCUCACAUAUUUAGUUGUGUAAGGUGGUAGUGCAGAGUAACCAAAGAAGGCUUGGAAGGAGAAUAGUUCUAUUUUUAAACUUUCUUAUGCUUAAAAACUUCAUAUCACUUCAUUUGUUAAGUGUCUUAUGCCUCUUGCAGCUGCUCUUGUGUGUGUGUGUGUAAAAUGCUAAAGUGCCCUAGUUUUGGAGUGUGCCUGCAGCUGCACAUGCAGAAGAGAGAAAUUAUUAAAGCAAAAAUCUGAAUUUUUUCCCUGUGGAAAAAAGCAGUUCUAAAACCUCAUUGGUUUCCUUGGUCUAAACCUCACCUGGCAAGGGCAAGGCGCAGCAUUAGGAUGUCGGUGAAGAUAACACAUUUGUUCUUACACAGGGCACACUGAGACUGCACCUGAAAAUGCUGUGCAUGAGUGGGGAUGUCCCCACAGGGCAACAGAAAUGGUUGCUGUAGAUAGGAAUUAAUUACUGUGACGCAGAAAAAGAGUAGUGCCUUGCUUUUGAAUGGUCAGUAUGCUCCCAUGAAUGAAGGAAUUCUUCACCUUGAGGAUGUAAAGCACUGGAACAGGUGGCCCAGGAAGUUGUGGAUGCCCCAUUCUUGGAAAUGUCCAAGGCCAGGUUGGAUGGGGCUUUGACCAACCUGAUCUCUAGUGGAUGGUGUUUCUGUUCAUAGUAGAUGGGUUGGAACUAGAUGAUCUUUAAGGUCCCUUCCAAUGCAAACCAUUCUAUGAUUCAUCCUGUGAUUCUGUGGUGGCAGAAGAGCCACUAUUAUGGACCCACUCUAUGAAGUCACUGGGAUGGUAACUAUGAACUUCAGCACACAUGGAGCUAAGUCAGAAGAGUUGAAAGCACAGAGGAAAACAUGGAUAUGCACUGAGUUCAGCAGGGAUGGGGUGACUUUAUAUGUCAUGGGGUGGCAAGAAGAAAGCCCUGUGUUGUCUGAAAAGCUCUGUGUUAGCAGGAGUAUCCUAAAUUAAUCAGUAGAUAUUGUUCAUUUUGCAGCAUACUCAUUUAAAUUAAAAAUAUGGUCAAAAGAAUGUUUCAUUUUAUUAUACUUCGGUGGAGAGAAGUGAUUAUGUCCUCUUGUCUUUGAGACCAAAAAGAUUGCAUUUUUUUUAAAAAUUACUAUAUCUCUGAUCAAAUUGCUCAGUAGAGCAAUGUAUAGCAAAGUAUCCAUUUUCCCCUUCUCUCCAUGCCCAUGCUCACUUUACUGCAGUUGCUAUCUCACUAACACUCACAGGCUGCCAUAUGCUUUGAUCUCUGUGCCCUCUUAGUGAGGAUAGCAAAUAAUGGGACACUCAAGUUGCUUUCUGCAGUUCAAGCAAUCUUACCUUGGAAUCAGUGCGAUAUAGAAAGCAGGCUGGUCUGUGCCUAGUUCUCCAUUUCUCAGCAGUAGGUGUAAGCUUCAUUGUGACUUGGAAUUAUUCACAGGAAUUACCUCAUAGUUUGGAGAAUGAUCUCUGGUUGAAGUCCAGAAGAGUUUUUCAUCUAGAAAUUGUACAGGUGCUUCAUUUCAUAAUCUCUGAGGUGACCUUCCAUGUACAGCUACUGCAGCAAUACACUGACACUGAUCCUGUGUAUGGGAAUCUCUCUGACUUCAUGGUAGCAAAUGCUGCCUGCACCAGUGAGAAAUCUGAGGAGGAGAAGCAUCUGGUACUCUUAUACCUUGGCUGAAGGUGUUUGCCCUUGUGUAACAGUCUCAGAAAUAAAUCACUGCAUCUUGCACAUUGCCUGCUUUUGGUGUUCGGAGAGCUCAUGCCCUAAGACAGGCUGCACAGCACAAAUUGCUGGCUGUCUGGAACUGAGGUUGUCCUGCAUGCCCUCAGGCAGUGGCAUUUCAGCUUUCAUUUUGGUGAUGUGUAAUUAAAAAGCUUCAAUUCACGUGUCUCAUCUGUGUUUGGGUGAGCUUGCUAGUGUUCUGGUCAACUGCAGAACUGGCUUCAUAGCACAGGCUUUUCAGCAGAAAAUCUUUUUUCCAGGGAUCCUUUCAUGUUAUAUCCUUGUUUUAUAUUGCAGUGAGAUAAUGAAAUAUCAUUAUACAGCGGGUAUGAGUGUCAGCUUUUUAAAAAAUGCUGUUACAGACACUGUGUUCCUUUUAUCAUCCUUAAGAGAUUAUAACUCUCCCUACAACGGCAUUUGGUUUGGCAUCUUCUACAUUAUUUAAUAUUUUAGGAUACAGUGCUUUUUAAAGCGGACAUGUCAGCCAAAAGUAAUCUUUUAUAAAUAUGCAUCUCCUAGUGGAGCAGUUAUACAAGUUUAAUC